UGGUCCCUUCCCUUUUCCCUUUUAGUCUUUAGUCCCUUUUCAAGUUGAAAUCUGCUACUCGUCGUACUCGUUCGUCUCAUCGUCUGACUCAUCGUGUUUGUGUUUGUGUUUGAUGUAAGUUGUUCGAUUUCAUUUUCGUGUUCGUGUUAGAUCGUGAGUUCUUGCAUUUUCUUCAAUUCGACUUAAUACCAGAGAAGAUUCAAGAUGCUGCUACUUUUAUACUGCGUUUUAACCUAAGGUAAGUGGAACAUAGGAACAUUCCUAGAGGUGGUGGAUGACCUACCGAAAGUGGUAAAGCACCAAGUUUGGGAUUUUCGCCGCAGUUCACCAACGCUUGUCUCAAGAACGAGAACAUCGAACGAACGAUAUCGUAUCGGAUGAAAUUACCAAUAUAUUGAUCUGUAGAUGAAAUUAGCGAUUAAUUCGUUGAAAGGUGAAGAAAAAUAUGCAUAUUUAAGCCGGCAACCUACUCGAUAAAUCAACCCACGUGUUCAUUAAACUGCUGGUAACAUCUUCCGGCGAUACUCUCGUACCUUCGGUGACUCUGUUAGCUAAAGAUUUGGUGUAAUUGUUUUGAAAAUGCAACAAUCCCCAAACUUUAUUCUUUCUAACAUCGUUCAAAGCGAUAUCAUCGUCAUCGUAUUGCA